AAGUACCAUGAGGAAUGGAUAAGAAACAAUAGCCGAGCAAACGAGAGAAACAGACGCAAUGACAGACCUCGAAAUUAUGACAGAUCAAGGAACUUUGAUAGGAGGAGGGAAAAUAUGCAGAACCGAGAUUUUCAGAACAGGGGUCAGCCUCCUAUGCCUAAUCAAGCUGGGCAAAAUCCUGGGCCUAACAUGCCUGGACCUGCCAACAACAUGAGGACUCCCAACAAUAUGGGCCCCCCGCCCCCCAACACGGGUCCAAUGCCUCCCCACAACAUGGGUCCAAACUACAGUAAUGUGCAGCAGCCAAACAACUGGAGUGGUGGCCAGCCCAACAACAAUAGCAAUCAGAUGCCUCAUAAUUAUAAUCAGAUGCCGCCGCCACCGCCUAACUACAAUCAGAUGCCCCCCAACAACAUGGGAGGUGUGCCACCAAACAACAUGAGAGGGAUGCCACCAAACAACAUGGGAGGAGUGCCCCCACCACCAAAUAACAUGGGAGGUCCACCGCCUAAUGCAGGAUGGGGGAGUCCUGGGCAAUACCAAGAUAACUACACACCAGGCAGGGACGAUGGAGGCAUCCCCGGUACAAACCGUUACUGAGCUUGAGGCUACGUCACCAUGAGUCUUGUAGGCAUGCUGUAGAUAAGCAAGGAGGCUGCUCGAGAUGGGCUGUAGGUUUUUCAUGUCACCGGUCUGGAAUGAUAUUUUGUUUGACUUAUUGCUGGGUGCGAACCUGGUUGCCUUUUUAUCUGAAUAUGAUUACACUUUCAGGGUCGAAUCUGAUUGGAUUAAUCGUAUCUUUGCUUUGCUACUUGGUACUGGUCAGGUCAUGUCAUGUCAUGUCAUGUAGUGCACAUAUUUGCAGAAAGCAGAAGACUGUUUAAUGAAACCACUAUGAUAGGGCAAUGCGCUCUUAUUUUUCAUCGAUUAGUCAUCCUCCUAAUCAAUUGAAAAAUCUAAACAAAACCCAAAAAUCAAUUAUAUGUAUAAUUUUUUUCUGUCAGUGCCUGAGCUUGUGCUUGGCUUAGUAACUUAAAUACAGGAAGAAUGGUGAAUACAAUCCAAUUCACUUCAUCGUCAGUUCAUUCAUCCCAUUCAACAAUACAAACAAAACCCACAAAGCAAUUAUACGAAGAAAUUAUUCUCUCUCUCUGUCUCCGUACUUCUGCUUGCAGCUUGCUUUAGUAACUUAAGAACAAGUGAUCACAGCCCAUUUAGGUUAACCCAGGGUAUGACAGCUGGAAGUUCUCCCGAAAAUGGUGUAUCCAAUUCUAACUUUUAAAGACUUUUUUUUGAGUAAAUGACUUUUCUAGAGUUGACAAAUUCUUAAUGACUUUUACAUACUUUAUAAAGUUAAGUGACAAACUUUCAUAUACUUUUGUCAUAGAGUUUUAUAGACUUUUAAAUACUUAUUUUUAUAUUUAUUUUACAAAUAGCAUUUAUCUUUUAUGUUGAUUGAAUUAGUCGGCAUACAUUGAACAAAAAAUUAGGGAAAAAAACAAUUGGAUACAAUUACAUAAAAGCAAAGAAUAGUUCUCCUUAACAUUAGAAAAUGAUAAAAAUGACAAAGUACAUUUGAAAAUGUACCAUAAGGAAAUAAUUGGCGCUCAACUAGCCAUGAUUCAGUUUACAAAAAAGCUUAGCCGUGAUUCAUUUCAAUGACAGUGAAUAAACCAUAAUACAAAUUCCUUUUGAAAAUUCCAAUGCUCAUUACCGUUGAGUUCCGUUAUUAUCUUGCAUGGCAUUUCUCCACAUGUCAGAAGCUAUACCAACUCUCCAUUCAUUAGCAUUCUCUCGUUGUUGUUCUUGAGUUUCAAAAACUUGUUCCACAUUAUCUCCUUCAUUCCCUGGUAAUGGUGAAGAUGAUGAAGACUCAUUCUCUAGUUCAAUAGGAAAUUCAUCAGAACGACAUUCCCUACGAAGAAAAUUAUGUAGUCCUGCACAAGCUAACACAAGCUCUGCUUGAGUCCUAUAUGGGAAGGGAGGUGCUGACUUGAAAAUUGUGAAUCUUGAUUUAAAUAUCCCAAAUAUCCUCUCAAUUACAUUCCUCAAGGAAGCAUGACGAAGAUUGAACAACUCAGUUGCGUUUUCGGGGUCACGACCUUGACCAGCAAAAUCUUGUAGAUGAUAUCGUACACCUCGAAAUGGAGCUAAAAAUUGACGUCGAUUUGGAAAUCCACAAUCCACAAAGAAAUAUUUACCUAAUCAUAAAAUAUAUAUAAAAUUUGUAUGCAAAGCAUGGUAUAAUGAAUGAUAAUAAUAAAACGAAGAGAUAAGAGUGUACCUUGUGGUACCUUGAGUCCAUUCCUCCUUGAUAAAGCAUCAUUUAAUACUUUUGAAUCAUGAGCUGAACCUUCCCAUCCACUGAGCACGUAUAUGAACUCCAAAUCAAAGUUACAUGCUGCUAAUACAUUUUGUGAUAUCUUUCCAUGACGAUUGCAGUAGUUGCUUACAUCACGUCCCUUCACCAUGGCUGGAAUAUGUGUACCAUCAAUAGCUCCAAUGCAAUCCUGAAAUGAAUUAAUAAGAAAUUAUAAGUAAAACAUAGUUUUUGUUGGAAUAAUAACAAUAAUACUUAUAAUAAUAAAUUCCAUUACCUUAAAGGAGGGGUAAAAUCGUGUACUUUCUCUUAUCUUAGCUGGCACUGCAGAUCGAGGUUUAGCCAACAUUUCUGGUGCUAGCGUGUUCAAUGCCUUCAAGACUUUGUUGAAGUUUUUGCUAGUAGCAAAAUGUGAUCGAUCAAAUGUCUUUCGGGUAAGACAAUAUCGAGAAUUUUGACCUACAGUGAGUAAAAAUGUAGCAAGCAUUUCUUCAACACAAAUAAAUCUUGUAUUUUGUAGGAGUGUUUUGUCUCUGAUGAUAGUGCAUAAUUUCCGAAACACAUCUGGAUACAUUCUAUAGACUUGUCGAAAUUCUUCAGGAUCUUCAUGUAAUAUUUUAUGUAUAUAAUCAUACCCACUUGUAGUAAUUGGUCGUCGAAUUAAUGGAUGCUCAAUAUGCUCACUACGCAUGAUAACCAUAAGCUCAUGUAACAUUUGGACCACUGCUUCCAUUGCCAUUAGUAAAUGCUUGAUGGUUUCGUAAAAUUCUUCAUCCAUUUCUUCUCCCUCCAUUUCCUCUUCCUCUACUCUAUUAUCUCCAUGCAUGAUCGAUUGAGACAUCAUAUGUGAACCACCUAAAAUAAAAAUUGGAAGCAAUUACAUUAUGUAAUAUAUAAUGUGGUUGCCUCUGUUUAGUAAAGAAUGCACUUGAAAUUGCAUGGGAAACAACAUUUCUAAAAUGGAAUUAAUAUGUAAGGUAUCAUGCAUGCAAUUUAUGACACGAGAAAACCAUUAACUUUAUAGUCAGAUAUUUUUUCUAAAUAUUAUAAUUGGAAUUGAAAAGCACCAACUGCUCAAAGAUAUCAUAUUUGAUGCAUAUGAAACAAACUUUAAAACUUUAAAUAUGUUCCUAAUAGAAAAUUUGACAAAAUUCCACAAAUAUGAAGCCAUAAACAAACUCCAAAAAUUCAGACAAGUUGUGCUUAAGCAUACUCCAAAAUAACCAAAGUCUAUCGUCUCCCACAUAACCUCAUUCAUUCUGACAACUUAUACAUUAUCCAAUCUUUGCGCUCCUGAGGUGACAUUUUCCAGAACAUAUCUUUUUUUGCUUUAGUAUUAAGCAACUCAACAACUUUGUAACGAACCUGACUAUCUAAGUUUGGGAUUUCCAUGAUAGCAUCCCAACAACCACUCUCUUUUUCCUUUUUUUCCAUAAGGCUAUGGAUUCCCCGAAAAUCUGUGGCAAUUGAAUCAAUGCUAAGAGAAACUCUUUCUAGAACAUCGGCUCGAGUGUUGGUCUCAAAAGAGCUAGUGUUCCCCUCAUACUCAGUUCUAUUUCUUUUUGUCUGACCAUUGCUUUCCAAGGGAAGCUCCACAUUCGUGCCUUGAGUGGGAACAUAUGAAUUAGGUUGUUUGGGUGAUAGAUCUUGGAAUGUUGCAGCUUCAACUUCAUUUGGUAUGAAUGCAUGAUUAUCAUCGUCAUAACUCAAGUCAUCUAUUCCCAGACGUCUACUUUCUUCCACUCCUAAUGUUCUUGCAUCCGUAUCAUCUCCCAAUGCAAUUGAGUUUCUUCCAAUGGCAGUUCCAUUCCCAAUUGCAAUUCUCAGAAGUUCAUAGUCAGCAAAAGUGUCUGUCUGAAAGUUGACAUGGGCCGGGUGGGACUAACAAAGGGAAAAAAAAACAAUUAAUGCAUACACAUACAAAAUAAUAAAUUAUCAUAUAAUAUAUUUUCGAAAAUAGAAGCUCACCUUAAUAUAAUCUUUCCACACUUCAUCACUAGCAGUGAACUUCUUUGUGAUUGGAUCCCACCCAAACCCAGAGCUAUGACGCAUAAGCUCAGAAAAAAUAUUAUAUCGUUGCUUAAACCAUUUCAAUCGGCUUAAGUAUUGUGAAUGAUUCCUUUCACAUCCAAGUUUUGCAUUAAGAGCAGGGAGUAUCUUUUUCUCAACUGUUUGCUUACUUAGCAUUCCAUUACUAUCACGCCAUCCACGAUUGGCGGCAUCAACCAUGAGCUGUAGCAACUCAUUGCUCUCUUCCAAUGUCCACAAUUUAUAACCUCCACUAACUUUGCUCUUUCCUUUGUCAUUUCCUCGUUGUGAUUCUUCCAUUGAUAAUUACUAUAUCACACGUACAACUCCUUAUUAAUUGUGUAUAUUUUCAUAAUAGCUUAUUGGUAAACUGCAUCCAAUGCACCUUUUAAAUUUUUAUUUAUCAAAUCUAAUCACAUAGACAAGUAACAUAUUCUUAUCAAAAUAAAUAAAUAUUACUCAGUCAUCAAUAAUAUUUCAUAAACACUCACAAAUCAACAUAAAUGGUUAGAUUACAAAAGAGUCUAUAUUCCAGCAAUUCUCCUAACCUAAUAUGUGGGAUGUAAAUAUUAUAUGAAAAAAUUAUCCACCUAACGAAUUAUGGGUAAAAAAACAGUACCUAAAGAAUAAAUUAAUGGGUUUAGGGGCAACAAAUUAUAUAAUAAAAUAUUGUAUGCAAACAUAGCAUAUGAGACAAUCAAUAUAAUAAAAUAUUUAUAUGCAAACACAGCUUUUUUUACUAAUAGAAGAAAUAUUCAUCAAUAGAGGGAAAGUAAACGUGUGGAUGAGAAGAGAAGAAAAAUAUUCAAUAUUUUUUUACUAACCUGAAGGAAGUGGAUGACAAUGGGAUACCAAAGUGGAGCCCUAACCAUGAAGAAAAAAGAUCUAUCUGCUUGAUGCUUGAUAUAACAAGGGAAGAAAGAAUUGGAGACGUUUGGAGAUGUUUUGGUUCUAUCUUCUCAACUUCCCAAUAUUUUCAUAAAGUCUGGUGUAAAUUAGCAAGACUUUUGGUAGUAAGAAUUACCUUUAAAAGUAUUGAAAAGUCAUUUAUUUAACAAAGUUUUUAAAAGUCAUUAAUAUUUUGGAUACCUCAAAACUUUUAAAUACUCUUUAAAACUCACAAUUGAAUACAACUAAACUUUUAAAGACUAUUUAAAAGUCACAAUUGAAUACCUAGACUUUUAAAGUCAUUAAAAGUCAUUAAAAGUUAUAAUUGGAUACACCCCCCCUCCUUCUGCUUGCAGCUUGCUUUAGUAACUUAAGAACAAGUGAUCACAGCCCAUUUAGGUUAACCCAGGGUAUGGCAGCUGGAAGUUCUCCCGAAAAUAAGUUUCCAGAAAUGUCCAGGAGUACCAGAGUUUCCUUGCUUAUGUUCCACAUCCAGUUUGGUACUUCGCCAUGUAUUUGGUUUCUUGCCAUAUCCAACCGCUCCAACUUUGUCUGAUUUCUUAGGAAAUAUGGGAACUCUUUUAAAUUGCAUGAACUCAAACCCAGAAUAGUGAACUGUCGAACAGUUGCAUUCAUCAUAUUGGAUUCAGUAACAAAUUCAAAAUUGUUCCAACUCAAUUGGAGUUGGUACAGAUUUUAUUGCUUCUCAAACAUUUGAAAUUCCACUACACCACUCAGGUUAUUUGAAUGUAGAUAAAGGAUCUCAAGAUUGAUGAGAUUGGAAAAUGAGGCUGGAAUUGAACCACUCAAAUGAUUAAAAGAAAAAUCUAGGUAAACUAGUUCGCUAAAGUUACCUAGCUAAGAUGGAAUUGGACUUCCAAAUCUGUUUGUUGAGACGUCUAGAUAAGUGAGCUGUCUAAGAUUACCAAGUGCAGAUGGACCCAAAAGAUUCUGAAAAAUUGCAAUUAGCCACAUCCAACUCUUGCAAUGAAUUAAGCUUUUCAAUUGAUGAAGGUAUUGUUCCCAAAAAACCUAGUAGAAGCAACUCUCAGAGAUAUGAGGGGACUACUUUGAUUAAAUUCAGGAAAAUAUCCAGUGAGAUCUUGAUUGUAUCUCACACCAAGAACUUUAUAGGUAAACAUGUAUUUCUUGUUGGUGAUUCAGGGAUUUUAAGCAUUUUUUGGGUUGUGCGUAUUCUCUCCAAAUCAAUUCAACUUCUUGUCGCGUUUGGUCACUGGAGAAGUUGUAUUCAUAUUUGGCACCUUAGUUGCUUUGUAUUUGUUUUUUUUUUUUAAUAUCUUAUUAAUAAAAUACUAUCGCUCUUUUGUCAAAAAAAUUCAAGAUGUAAUUAAUACUAAGGUUUAAUGAAAUUUUACAUCAUCUGUUAAAUUGGUAAUGUGGCAAGCAAAAAAGCGGUCUCCGCUCUGUAUAGCUUCAACUUGGAUUCAACAUAGAUGAUGCAGCACCACCCAGCCCCUUGCAUUUGGAGCGGUCGUUAUUAAACCAGUGCAAGAUUUUAAUACUCAGUUUAUAUACAGUUCUUACUUGAGCAUUGCCCUUGUAUUUCCAAUGUUCUAAAAUAUUCUUUCUUUGCCCUCUUAAGCUAAAUAACCUUCUAUGAAAGUGAAAGAGCUUUCUGUAUCCAACAUUACAUUGGCGUCCUUAUUGAUGUUAAACUGCAGGAGAAGCAGAACCUUUGUAGCAAAUCUUCUCUCUCUUCAUUCACAAGUCACUAGCAUCUGUUAACUACACAGGACCAAAAGACGAAAGGCAUAAAACAUAACUAAUCUAGAAAUCCCUUCACCAAUAGCCACACACUCAGAAAAUUGAUGGAUAUAUUAAACCCAACAAAUUAAUAUAUCAGUCUCUGAGUUGAUUCAAUUGAACAACUUAUGCUGCAAGGUCAUGCAGUCUUCAGUCUUCUUUCCUCCAAGCAACGUCAACAAGGUAUUGAUAUGUUCAAAUGCUGACCAACUUUUUUUGUAGAGAAUGAAUCUGUCACAUGCCGUCGCGCUUCUAUGCCCAUUCUCUGCGCAAUCUGCUGGUCUUGGAUAAGUUUAGCCAUACCCAAUCACAAAGAAAUCAUGUUUCACCGUUCUUAACUGUCUCUAGAGCCCCCACUGUUGCACAAAAUGACAGGUUUAUAAGCUGCCAUAACCACACAACACAAAUUAUCCAAACCCCUCUGUACGUCGAAGAGAGAUUUCCACAAAUGAAACCAAAGCAAUGACCUUGUGUAUUUUAAAGUCUGCAUUGACCUUCGUCCUCAAGCGAAGAUCUUCUUAUACUGAAUUUUCUUUUUUGAUUUUUAAGGCAGCUGAUAUGCGAUACCAGCGCAUCUUCCAUGUCAAUCAAAGUCCAAGUUCCAAGUUGUUUUCUUGUUUUAAACUUUUCUAAGGAAAUUGGAAGAUAGUCAUUCUUUCCAAGUUGUUUGCCCCACAUGAAGGCAACUACAUAAAAAAAAAAAAAAUCACGUAUCAUUGACAAGCAGCAAUCGUUCACAAAGAAGUCCUUUCUACACAAAUGGCACAAUAUAAAAUUUAAAGGGAUUAAUUAUUGAUAUGGCCCUUGAAAUUCAAUUUGAAUCUCACUUUGCCAUCUAAAACUCAAUUUGUCACACUCUACCCUCUGAAACUCAAUUCUCCGUCUCACUUUGUCCAUAUUCAUUAACUCCAUAAAAAAUAACAUAGCAUUGAGUUGUGAAGAGCAAAAUGUUGAAAUUGAUAACAGUCAAGCCAUGCGUUGAUGCCCUAUUCAUGUUAUAAAAAUCUUUUCUAUUAAUUCAUAUUAGACUAGAUAAAAUAACUUUCAUGUAUUAAGAAAUCAAGGGUCACAAAUUUCAAAUUCCCAAAAAUAAUCAGUGAGAAAUCAUAGCAAAAAACACCAAAAAGAUGCACAAGGCGCAUUGGAUGAAUAUGUUAAAGCCAAGAUAUGGAAUCAGAGUCUCCAAUUCUCUGCAAAUUCUAAUUCAAAGUCUCAAAAGAGAAGUUUUUUCUGCCAUCUUGGGCCAAAACUGGACCCAACAUUUGGAAUAUGAAAGUAAACACCCGAGUUCGAUAUGAUCCAACCCAUUUCAGUUUCGGACUAAAACGGGUCGUCGUCGUCUUUCUCCAGUUCUCUACUUCUCACACAGAAGAGUCUGUAAAAGGAAGAAGAGAAGAGCAAUGAGUGGAGAAGAAUUAGCGGGCACCCCAGCGGCCAAAGCUCCUCCGUCUGCUUUAUUUUGUCGGCGCUGGCUGUAAGUCAUGAAUUUUCAUUUCAAUUUUAAGUCUUCUUCUUCUCCCUUUUUAAAUGGUUGGCUGAUUUUAAAUUCUGGGUAGUUAUUUGCACUGUUGGAAUCAACAAAUGGCGUGAGCUUCAGCGCAAGUCAAUUUUACAACAGCUGCAGCAGCAACAACAGCUCCCUGAAAAUGCCGCAAAUGCCCUUGAGUGAUCUCCAGGUUUAAGGCAAAUUUUCAAAUUUUGUCAUAGAAUUUGGCAAGUAAGCUUGAUCUUUGGCUUCAUUUUGAGUUUGUAAGUGCUGCUCCAGCUGAACUCGUGUUAGACUGAGCUUUGGUAGUUUGGUUGUUAAAUGAUGUGGAAAAUGGUGCAAAAAUUCAUGCCUUUCAAUCUGUUUGAAUAUUCGAAAUACCUAUGUGUGCAAAUUUCUUUGGCUUCAUUUUGAGUUUGAUCAAAUUGCUAAUCUGAGUAUUCCGCGUACAAAUUUGAAUGGUAAUGGGGAUUGUCUAGAUUUCCAUUUUGUAUACAUUUGUGCUUCUUUUGUGACAUUUUCUCUCUAGUUUAUAGUUUGAUUCGGGCAGUAUACAACAUUCUUGAGGAUGACUCAAAUAGCGAGAUUAUUGAUAUUGAGUAAGAAGGUGAGAUUGUUGAUAUUGAGUAAGAAGGUGAGAUUAUUGGUGUGUGUGUGUAUGUGCGCGCACGCAGUGGGGGUUUCUAUUGUGAGUACCGAAGAGCUUUCUCAUCUUAGAAUAUGUAUGUCUAUUGAAGCUGUGGAUUCUAAUCCAAAUCGAGGCGAAUUUGUCAUAUGUGAAUAAUGCUAGGUAAGAGUUCAGGCAGUCUUUAUUUAAGAUGCUUUGGCAUAAGAUGGCUUGGGGUUCCCCAUAGAAAUACAAUAGAAUGCAUGCUUCUAUUUGUUCACUUUGGAUAGUCAUGCAUUGCACUAUUUUAUUUGUUGGUUAUCAGAACAACCUACACUUGAAGAUUGUAAUUAUAUGUUAAUGGACCUUGUAUUUGUGCAGAUGCUACAUUAAACCAUCUUCAAGUAUAUAAACAAGCAUGUUUUUUAAGUUAUUAAUGAAAUUGGAACUUAGUGCCAGUAUGACAAUAGGCGAUAUGUAUGUGAUUUGUAGGGCGGUGAGAGUCAGUAGUUUUCUACUGUUAUGUCAUGGAUUUUGCAGCAUGCUCGCUUUCAACUAUCCUCGGAUGCUUAUGCAUAAUCAAUUGGAGGUUCUAACUUCUAACUUCACAUAAUGUAGCCAAAACCAUGAGGCAAUCACUUCACUGAGUUCUGCAACCCUCACAUAAUGCAGGUGAUAUGUAAUGCUAGUUUUCUUCAAAGUUUUCACUCAGUUUCUAAAUAAACAUGUCAAAAUGAGUUUCAUGAUAACGGAGUUUGUAAAAAUUAGGGGAAUGUCUAUAACUGCUUUGAGAUAGUUCUGUCAAUAGUGAUUGUUUGAGUCUGACAGUCUGUUGGGUACAUAUAGUUCUCUGUUGCGGCUAGAUGGCUGGAUGCAGUUUUUCAUUUGAAAGCCUUGAUGGACUUUUGGAGCUGAAGCUUUCAUGUUUGUUUUUGCCUAGGUACAUUCUUUUGUCGACCUAUAUCAAUAAAGGUCAUUGAUUGAGCAUAAUCAUAUCUGAAAAGAAUAGCAGUACAAAAAUAGGUAUGUGAAAAGAAAAAAGAAAAAUUAGUGUUUAGUAAUUAGCAUGUGCUACAUUACCUAUUUUUGUUUUAGAUAAGGUGGAUGAGUUUUAAAUUUUAUUUUGUUAAAGACCAAUUUGUAAGCCCAUGUGCUAAAAGCAUGAUUAAUAUAAGAGUUACAUUUACAUUUUUGCCAUUUUCUGAUAUUUUGUUUCCACUGUGAUACUAAAAUUAGCGAUCGGCAAGGACUAGAUGAGCAUCGGCAUUGCAACCAUAGCGAUCAACCUAGCGCCGAACCUUCAGGUGGCGCUCUUCAAAGCGACGUUGCAUGGUGAGCGAGAAGCACAUAUAGGAGAUCAUCAUUGUCGCGAGCCGAGUAUUGGCGCCUGUUUCAAAGGAGGUUUUUGUAUUGAAUCUGGGCUCCUUUUGGACUCUUCUCGAUUGCAGUCCUGGUUUUGUUAGCCUUUCACCAUAAUCAGCAUGAAGAUCGGGUGGAACAGCCUAUACUAGUAUGAUUGCUUAGCUCCCCUGUGCUGCUAUUAUGUGUUAAUUGAUUUAGUUUGUCCUUGAAUUGGUGACCUGUGUGUUUCUUCAACAUUUUAAUUUGAUAUUGGUUGAUAGGAAUUUGAUGUGUUUGCAGUCUGUUGUUUGGAUUAUUUGAGGUUUUCGUCAGUGAAAUUUCUGAUCAAGUAUGGAAAUACACAAUUGGGUUUUUAUUGUUUUGUUUAGACAUUUGUAUGAGUGGUUUUAGAUAUUUCCGAUGAAUCUCUAGUUAGUUAUUUAUAGGGAUAUGCGUGUUCCUUCAUUACUAUAUAACCUUGUCGAAAGACCAUAUGAUAUAAAUAGACUAUCAAUAACCAAGCAGAAGCAUGCAGUAAUCACGUGGUUGUGAUAUUAAACAUUAGCCUGUAGAUGUUAUAUCUAGAAUUUAGGUGUCACUAUUGGAUUGCUUCAGAUUAUCUAGCGUGCUUGUGAAGGCCUACACUCCCAGUCAAGCCUGGAGUUGUUAUUUGGGGAAGAAAAUGAAGCUUAUGUAGAACGAAUAGCAGUAAACUAUUAUGCUGUUAUCUGAUUUAGUAUCAGAUGACUCUUUUAAAGCAAACUUGUCUGACACACGUGUGAAUCAAAACCCUGGAUGGAUGUUCAAAUUUCCUUUAUUAUUACAAAAUAUUAGUGCUUAGUUAGUUGUGUGUGACAUAUGUCAAGAUAUUAUAGAGAUGUCAAAAUGAAGUAACAAGAUUGUCCAUGAUGACCUAUAGCUUGUAGACUGAGAAACAUCAGGUCCAAAGAAAUUGGGUGAUCACUGUGUAAAACUUUGUGUUUAACCUGGUAUCUCGAGAGCUGAAAGGAAUUUAGUUUAACUGGAGGAUAAUACAAUCUUCUUAUCUCUGGUUUUUAUUUCUAAUUCCGUGUAGUUGCUUCUGGCGUGCAUUGCCCACCCCACCCCAGUUAACAAAAGAAAAAUAGACAGUUUUGGUCUCUAGAAUUUGAUGAUGAAAAUUUUCCUCUUAGGCAGUCAAUGUUAGCCUUGGAAGUUCGCAUAACUGCUUUUUGAAUGCUGGGUAUUAUAGUAUUUGCCUUUUUAAUACUGAUAUUAUAGUAAUCUUAAUCUGCCAUUCUGUUGUACAUUGUCUACCUGUCUAUUCGUUUGUUUUCAAUUAGUUUUUCGGCAAUCAAGUAUCCAUUUAUACAUGAUUGUCUGCUUUCUUGUUAUUUUUUUGUUUUGGCAGGAGAACCUUUUAUUAAUGGUGAAGCAGUACCAUAUGAUCCCAAGUACCAUGAGGAAUGGAUAAGAAACAAUAGCCGAGCAAACAAGAGAAACAGACGCAAUGACAGACCUCGAAAUUAUGACAGAUCAAGGAACUUUGAUAGGAGGAGGGAAAAUAUGCAGAACCGAGAUUUUCAGAAUAGGGGUCAGCCUCCUAUGCCUAAUCAAGCUGGGCAAAAUCCUGGGCCUAACAUGCCUGGACCUGCCAACAACAUGAGGACUCCCAACAAUAUGGGGCCCCCGCCCCCCAACGCGGGUCCAAUGCCUCCCCACAACAACAUGGGUCCAAACUACAGUAAUGUGCAGCAGCCAAACAACUGGAGUGGUGGGCAGCCCAACAACAAUAGCAAUCAGAUACCUCAUAAUUAUAAUCAGAUGCCGCCACCACCACCUAACUACAAUCAGAUGCCCCCUAACAACAUGGGAGGUGUACCGCCAAACAACAUGAGAGGGGUGCCACCAAAUAACAUGGGAGGAGUGUCCCUACCGCCUAAUGCAGGAUGGGGGGGUCCUGGGCAAUUCCAAGAUAACUAAAUGCCAGGCAGGGAUGAUGGAGGCAUCCCCGGUGCAAACUGUUACUGAGCUUGAGGCUACGUCACGAUGAGUCUUGUAGGCAUGCUGUAGAUAAGCAAGGAGGCUGCUCUAGAUGUGCUGUAGGUUUUUUAUGUCACCGUUCUGGAAUGAUAUUUUGUUUGGCUUAUUGCUGGGUGCGAACCUGGUUGCCUUUUUAUCUGAAUAUGAUUACACUUUCAGGGUCGUCUCUGAUUGGAUUAAUCGUAUCUUUGCUUUGCUACUUGGUACUAGUUAUGUCAUGUCAUGUCAUGUAGUGCACAUAUUUGCAGAAAGCAGAAGACUGUUUAAUGAAACCACCAUGAUAGAGCAAUGCUAUCUUAUUUUUCAUCGAUUCCUAAUCAAUUGAACAAUCUAAACAAAACCCAAAAAGCAAUUAUGUGUAUAAUUUUUUCUCUCGGUGCUUGUGCUUGGCUUAGUAACUUAAAUACAGGAACAAUGGUGAAUACAACCCAAUUCACUUCAUCAUUAGUUCAUUCAUCCCAUUCAACAAUACAAACAAAACCCACAAAGCAAUUAUACAAGGAAAUUAUUCCGUCUGAGUCUGAACGCUUCUGCUUGCAGCUUGCUUUAGUAACUUAAAGACAAGAACGAGUGAUCAGAACCCAUUUCAGUUCAUCACCAACUCAUCAAAUUUCACAUCCCAAUCAAACCCAAAUUAAGAGCGAUUAUUUAGAAGCAAGAUUAGUGGCAGACAUGCCCAUAUAUCUCAGGCCAUGUCACUCUCAAGCAAGGUUAGUGAAAAAUAUUCAUCCGAUGGGCAUCUUUUUAGUGUUUUUUGCUGUGAUUUCUCACUGAUUAUUUUUGGGAAGCUCUCCAAGUUGAAAUUUGUGACCCUUGAUUUCAACAAUUUACAAGGUUCUUUGCCCUCAUCUUUGAUGAAUUUCACAAACCUUGUAGAACUACACUUGGGAUCCAAUCCAACAACUUGGAAGGUGAUAUCUGCAUGCUUGAUUUUUCCAGACUUAGUCAAUAACUUUACUGGUACGUUUCCAAUAAGCAUUUACUCAUGUAGGUCCCUGAAAGCAAUUCAAUUGACUUCAAGUCAUCUAGGGGGGCAAAUACAACCUCAGAUUCUUUCAUUGAAAUACUUGUCCUCCCUCUCAAUUGGUGGCAAUAGAUUAACCAAUGUCAGAGGAGCAAUGAAAAUACUAAUGCGUUGCUUUCAGAAUCCUUUAUAACUGCAUCGCUUUCAAGCUACCUAUAAGAAAAUCAAAAAAUUAGAUGCAGCUUUCUCAGAACUGCCUUUUAGCUUGCGGCUUGCUCGAAAUUACAGAAUUGCUAUCUUCCACUACAAAUGCAACAUCCGCAUGCCAACAUCCAAACACCCACCUCCCAGAAUCAUUCUUCACAACUCAACACAAUUCACUAGUUCCUGGUUGGGGCUCAUUUGAUUGCUAUCAAUAUAUUCAGCAAGUAGUUGUUAACUUGUGCCCACUCAGAGGGUUGAACAUUAUUGCUCUACCAAGAUAUUAUAGUAGUUGCCUUCUUGUGGGGCAAACAACUUGGAAAGAAUGACUAUCCACCAAUUUUGAAUUUUCUUAGAAGAAUCAUCAACAAGAAAACAACUUUGAACAUGAAUAGGACGUCAAUGUAUAAUGUUGGAUCAGGCUUGACUGACACUGUCACUCUCAGGCCAUAUCUAUCAGGCAAGAAAAAUCGCACCAUGUAUCUUCCAAAUUCCACGAAAAAUUGUCAUCAUAUUGAAAGAAAACACCAAUGAGGGAAAACACGUCAAACAACGUUUGCAUCCACAUCUGAAAACGCAUUAACUACAUCCAUGAGAUUUUUUAUUACUGUUAAAAAAAUCAUGACACAUCCUAUACAGCUUAUAACUCGACCAGCAUGGAAAUCUCUCUUCAACGUAUAGAAGGGGUUUCAAGAAUUUGUAUUGUAUGGUUAUGGUUGUUUGCUAAUUUCCUACUUUGAGUACUUGGCCUUGUGGACUUUAAAUUAAGUAGGUCAAGUCCACUCCUAGUGGCAUUAGUGGGAAUAUCUUUUAGGGUAAACUGCCGAAAUGCCUCCUGAACUUGUACUUAAUUAUCAAUUUACCUUAUGACCUUUUUUUUAAGCGAAUUAAAGGCUCAAAUUAAAAUUUAUUAUCAAUUCUUCCCCUAUCGUCUAAAUAAAUAACGUUUCAUCCAAUAAUCCGUCAAAUCAUUAAAAAAAAAAAUAUUAAUGAUGUCGGGAAUUCUAUAGGAUUUGUCUCGGGUUUCGAGGAAUUUGGGACGGGUCCUGUCAUAACCAGUCGACAACUCUUGCGCUUAUCUCUCAUAGCUCUACCAUAUCCAUGGUAUGAAUUUUCUUUUAAAACGUCUUCUUAUUUCAAUUCUUGUAAUCGUUUGGGUUGGAUUGAGAAAUCUCCAAUACCUCUUCCUUUACUCUGUAAUUCGAAUUUGAGGAUAGUUGGUGGAUUAAUUAAAGAAUCUUUUGUUAUUUAGUUUAAAAUCCAAAGUAAACAUAAAUUGCAGAAGAAUAUAUAUAUAGAUGAGAUUCACUUGAUUAUCUGAGGAACGAAUCAUGGAUUAUUAUAAUACAUAAAAUCAGACUCCCGCUCUUUUUACCCUUCAAACAAUCCAGGAAGAUUAGCAUUCGAGCCCGAAAGGGUAUGGGGACCCGAAAGGAAUAGUAAAAGAAAAGGAUACCAAGUUUAGUUGGGCCCGAAACUGCACCAGUGGGCCUGAACUGACUAUUGAUCUAGUUAAAAACAAGAAAGUAUUGAAGUAGGUUAAUAAAACCCAGGUAGGGUUUUUUGUUGACCACGAACUUAAUCUUGCUCUGUUGCCCGUUCAGGUGCUGCUCACACUUGUCAAGGUGAUAUUCACGAAGAAAAGAAUAUUGAAGUCCUCUUAAUUGAGACAUAUAAAAGAAUCUAUCCAGGCCAGUACCCCCAUGGAGCACAAUGGCUUGAUGAGAAGUCUAGAAAUGAGGUGCAAACUCCAUCAGCAUCAGUCAUUCAUAUCCACACCAGAUCUAUUGAGCUGGUUAUAUCCUCAAUAGUGGCACGCCUGCGCAACAAAAGGGAUCAACACUACGAAGAAGUUGACAAACAGGGCCUCGAUCAGGCCUGACUUCUCUUAGCAAGCUGAUUCAACUUUCAGUUUUGUCCAAAAAUUAAAGAAGUCCCUUUUGCAAGCGAAGAUACACCAUUUGAUCGGGGCAUUGGUGUUGAUAUAAUAAUUCCUCUUUGUUCAUCAGAGCAAAGUUGGCCCUCGUGGUUGCUAAAAGGAACGAAGGAUGGGAAAAAGCGCCAACAAUUUUCAUUUCCUUUCUGUCGAUAUACUGUUUUGAGAGGAAAAAGAAAAUAGACUUGGAAAAUUUCAGCUUUUGCUAUGCUUCGUACCUUGAAUCCUAGCUAUUUUUUGAUCCAACUCCGUUUGUAUUCCUUUGCUUUUGUUCUGUUUUGCUCCUUCCCGUUUGGAUUGUUCAAUGGCAUCAGAUUUCGACCCAAAAAAAAGAAAGAGAUGUGCUUCGAGGUCCUAAUGCAAGAAGCCAUAACCGCCCCUCUUGCACUCAAACCCUCGUCGUCGGCCUCCAUGUGGAGUUCUCAUGAUUUGAACAAACGACUCCGUUUUGGACCUCUCCGCCACCACACUCAUGCUCCUCCUCGAGGACGUCUAGCGAUUAGCGCAGCAGAGUGAGAUGAAGACCCAGCAGGCGAUAAAUGACUUUUGGAUGGCCCUAGGCAAUGAACUAAAUAAGGCCCCUUCCCUUGGUAUACAAUUGCGAAAAAAAACAAAUAAAAUGAUUUUAUGUAGCGCGUAGAGCAUGUGAAUAAUGAUUUUAAGAUAAAUAAUUAUAGAGCAUAAUCCUACAUGGUCAAUUCUAAAGCUGAGUCUUACAUGGUCAAUUCUAAAGCUGAGUCUAAGUCUCUUAACAGCAAAGUCAUUGUCUGUGUAUAAUCUGGAAAAUUAAAAAAUAGUUUGAUGGAUAGGAACAAAUAUAUAUAAAUCUGAUUACUUUUUCAAUUUCUCAUGUUCCUCCCCUCUUGGUCACCAUCAAUCUCAAAGACAAUUUGUGAGCUUUUUAGUGUGAGAUUGAUUCUUAGGGUUAAAAUAUGAUAAGAUAAAAAAAAAGGAUGAGAGAAAUUGAAAAUAAUGGAUGGAUUGAAGAGAGAUGGGGAAAAAUAUGGUGGUGGAUUAUUAAGAGAUGAGUGGAUCAAAUAGAAUUCUUCCAUGGAGAAACUAACUAGGAGAGGAAUCGCCUUCCUCAAGCACAUGUUGUUUCUGUCUCUGCGUGGGAAACGAAGAAACAUUCUGGGAAGAGGAAACAAAGAAACCUAAUUUAAUCGCGUGUUGUUUCUGUUUUUUUAAUAUAUAAAAUUGGACAAUAGUGUAUAUUUAUUUUUACCAUAAAAUUAUCAACACGAAAACAUCUUAGAAGCUCAUCGUAGCCCUCUUUAGACCUAAUAUGGUCUACAAUAGUUGAUAGUAACAGCUAGAAGGUCUGGUCCUCUCAUCGUGGCCCUCUUUAGACCUAAUGUGGUUUUCAAUUUUGGCUACAUUAGUUGAAGUCUCUGUUCGACGUAUAGAAGGGGUUUGAAGAAUUUGUAUUGUAUGGUUAUGGUUGCUUGCCAAUUUCUCACGUUGAGUACUUUGAAGGCGUUGUGGACUUAAAGUAAGUCAAGUCCUCUCCUGGUGGCAUUAGUGGGAAUAUCUCUUAAUACCCAAUGAGGCCUUCUCUCUGGUUUCAUUAGUGGGAAUAUCUCUUGGACGAAUUGAGGGGUUUCAAUAUCAAUAAUUUGCAUUGUGUGGUUGUUGUUUGCCGAUCGACUUCUCAAUUUGCAGUGAUGUAUGCAUCCUUUUCAAGCAUCGUUGCUCUUAUAUAUAUAUAAGUGAUUUCAUUUAGGUAUCCAUCAAAUGAGCUUACUUGAAUCCGAUAUCAUUUGACUACUUAAUUAAAUUAUUGAAAUUUAAGUACUUUCUUGAAGCACAGUGUUCAUUGAUUUUGUUGAUCUCAAUUAGAUGCCUAUUGAUUUUCAAUAUGCAUGAAUUUUUGGAAAGAUGAUCUAUGAAUGAAGUUGUGAAAAAUAGAUGUUUUUGAUUGUUCAAAAAUUUUUUGUAAGGGACUCUAAGGGGUCUCCCUCAAAUAAAUUAUUUUGAGGAAUCCCUCAAUAGAAGGGUACUGAUACAUACUUAUAUAUAUAGACCAGCUUGUAACCUAAUGGCUCAUGGCUUCGUUCUCUUCCUCUUAUUCUCUUGCAUUAUACCUACAAAUAUUCAUGCCUGCAAACAAACUGAACAGCGCUCCCUUCUGUCCUUUGCCUCCAUUCUAUCUUCUCCUCCUUUAAAUUGGACAUACACUAUGAAGCUGUUGUUGCUGACGUUGAAACUAGUUAAGUUGCUUGCUUGUUGGAAGAAUGAAGAUGGAAUUGCACCAAAGAAGUGAGUAAGUCUGGAAAAAUCAACAAUAGUUUGAGUUUCAAUGUCAGCAACAAUAGCUUCACAGGGUAUGUCCCAUCCUCUAUUUGUCUCCAACAUUCUUCAACCUUCCUUAGGCUAUUGGAUUUUUCUUCCAAUCUAUUUAAUGACGACCUUGCUCCUGGGUUAUGGAAGUGUUCUGAACUGCAGGUUUUUCGCACCAAUCACAAUAACCUCUCAGGAUUACUUCCAAAAGAUAUCUAUAAUGCUACCAAACUUUAAGAAAUUGCAUUACCCUCUCAAUUCACUACAUGGAGCCAUUAGUGAUACAAUUGUCAAUCUCACCAACCUUGCCAUCCUUGACCUCUCCUUUAAUCAUUUUGGCGGCAAGCUUACUCCCAAUUUGGGGAAGCUCUCCAAGUUGAAAUUUGUGACCCUUGAUUUCAACAAUUUAGAAGGUUCUUUGCCCCAGUCUUUGAUGAAUUGCACAAACCUUGUAGAAUUGCGUUUGGGAUCCAACAACUUGGAAGGAGAUAUCUCUAUGCUUGAUUUUUCCAGACUUACUCAACUUACUAAACUUGACCUAAGGAUGGAUAACUUCACUGGUAUGAUUCCAGUAAGCCUUUAUGCAUGUCGGUCCUUAAAAGCCAUUCGAUUGUCUAGAAAUCAUCUAGAGGGAAAAAUAGAAGCCGAGAUUCUUUCAUUGAAAUCCUUGUCCUUCCUCUCGAUUGCUGUAACAUCUCACAUCGACCAAUGGAGAGGGAGUGAUGUGCUUUAUAUGUACAUGUCCACCUCUAUCUAGUUCAAAGCCUUUUGGGAGCUCACUAACUUCGGAGUCAUGGGAACUCCGAAGGUAACCGAGUUUGGGUUAGAGCAAUCCCAGGAUAAGUGACCUACUGGGCAGUGCUCGUGAGUUCCCAGAAACAAAACCGUGAGGGCAUGGGGGGGCCUAAGGCAAACAAUAUUGUGUUACGGCGGAGUCGAUCCAAGGUGUGACAGAAUGGUAUCAGAGCCACUCUGCCGUGUGGUGUGAGUGUGCUGACGAGGAUGUCGGGCUCCUAAGAAGGGUGGAUUGUAACAUCCCACAUUGACCAACGGAGAGGGGGUAAUGUGCCUUAUAUGUACAUGCCCACCUCCAUCUAGCACGAGGCCUUUUGGGAGCUCACUGGCUUUGGAGUUUGGAAACUCCGAAGUUAAGCAUGUUGGGGCUAGAGCAAUCCCAGGAUGGGUGACCCAUUGGGAAGUUGCUCAUGAGUUCCCAAAAAUAAAACUGUGAGGGCAAGGGGCCCAAAGUGGACAGUAUCGUGCUACUGCGAAGUCGAUCUGGGAUGUCAUAUAAUGGUAUCAGAGCCACUUUGCCAUGUGAUGCGAGUGUGCCGAUGAGGACGUUGGUGUCCCAGCAAGGUACCUCUUUUGUACCAAGCCAUGUCCUUAAGUUUGUCCCAUGCCUUGGGCAAGUCAGGCAGUGCCACAAUGUUCAUAUUUAUAUGGAAAUUUGAAACUCAUUCGUUGAGGAGUACAUGUGUUUCUUGUAUUGUAAGUGCCACUACUACAAAAAAGCAAAAAGACGACGGUAAAUCACCGUCGUGUAUUUGGUUUUUCAAUGGUCGUGGAAUCCACCGUCAUCUUUUCCCUCAUAAACCACGACGCUAAAUAACCGUCGUUGUUAAACAAUACAACGUCAUCAAAAAAUACAAAACGACGUCUUUGUACUGCAAAAAGAUCUAAAAAAAGCAAUCGAUGAUGAUAAUAGACGACCAAUUCUCUAAAAAGACCGUCGUUAAAAAGGGAAAAUAUGACACAUAUUAAGAGAACAAGGCCGCAAGAUAGACAUACAACGACGACAAUAAAAAUACGCCGACGUUAAAUAUAAUUUUCACGACAAUAAAAAAUAUGACGUCUUUAAAUACAUUAGAAGACGACGUUAUUGAUACCUACUACGUCGCACAUAUAAACACAACCGUCGUACAAUUAAUUUUCCACUUCGAUUUUUUGAUAAAAGAUGACGUGGAAAUAGUUGUCAGUGUCAUUAUUUACGACGUAUGUGUUUCUAUAGUAGACGUUGAAAAACUAAACAACGUCAGUUACAAAUAUAUGAGAGUCGUAUUAAAAAAUUUAUACGUCCUAUUUUCAGAAACAAACAACGACCAUAAAUAUUAGACGUUGUUAAAUACAACAACGUCGGAAAACAAUAAAAACAGACGUGUUUAGUCUGCUAAAGUUCUACAACGUCUCUUAUUUACAAAAAACCGUCGUGAAAUAAAUUUUCCACUUCGAUUUUAUCUAAAAAAGAUGACGUGGAAAUAGUUGUCAGUGUCAUUAUUUACGACGUAUACAUUUAUAUAGUCGACGUUGUAUUUAUAUGUAUUCAUUACUCACGACGCACUUAAUAAUAUAGACGACGUUGAAGGUCUAAACAACGUCGGUUCCAAAUAAAUGAGAGCCGUAUUACAGAACAUAUAGACGGCGUAGAUUAUGAUGGGAGCCGUAUUACAAAUAACGUCGUUUAAUUGUUAUUAGACGGCGGUUAUAAUGAAUUUCCGUCGGAAUUAAUUUCGUUCCUCUUCGUUUAUAAAAGAACUUGCGACGUGGAAAAUGUAUGAUGACGUCGUAUUUUUUAACGUUCAGAUUACAUAUCUCGUUUUUUAGACGUCGGUAUUAUGGGAUUGGAGUCGUGUUAUUUUGAAUUACAUGGCGGUUCUUUAUCCUUCACCGACGUGAUAUCCUGAAUAAUUGCUUCACAAUAGCGUCGUGGUUCUUCAUUGUUACGUUGCUUUAAGACGUCGGUAAAUAUGCUGAAUAACUGAUUCACAAUAACGUCGUGUUUUAUUUGAACGUAGAAAGUGAAGAAAUCACAUUACAAUAUAUUACAAAAUUAAUGUCAUACACUGCCAAUUACAUAAGCAUCAUUCAAUCCAUAUAUCUUCACACCCAUCUCGAAUAUUUUGACCGCCUAACUCACCUACCAGUUCAUCAAAUGUGUCAACAUUUGGCAUCCCUCUAGUAAAUGGCUCACACUCAAUUAUCACAUCACCUAAUACUUCAUCACCAAUAACAUCAUUAUAUUCUCUACUAGGCAUUGAUAACACUACCGACCAACCACGAUGCAUCGGGUCGUCAACAAAAAAUAUUUGUUUGACUUGAGAAGCCAAAACAAAUUGGUCAUUCCUAUGUCCAAUUUUACUCAAAUCUACAAGGGUAAAUCCAAGUUCGUCGACUACAAGACCAGAACUAUCUAUCCAAUCACACCUAAAGACUGGGAUUGUAAACUUUUGGUAGUCAAGGUCCCAAAUUUCUUGAAUGACACCAUAGAAACCCAUAUUUGAGAGAAUUGGGUUUUUAUCCUUGGCACUAGCAACUUGCAUGGUAUGUGCAAGUAAAUAAACUCCACUAUUUUGAGUUGUCCGCACAUCAUCUUGUGCCUUGAUAUUGAAUUUAAUACCUUUAAUAAGAUAGCUCCUAUAUAAUGGCACUGACAUGUUUGGACCAGCUGCUAGCCACCUUAAAUUUUCUGAUACGCCAUGAUUGUCUUCCUCAACUUCACUUUGAACCUGCAAAUUAAUCAUAUCUUAAUUCAUCCUAACAUAUAAAUAAGAAGAAAAUUAAAAGAGAAAUACGUUAUUCAACAACAUAUACCUUGAAGCGUAGCCAUUGAAUGAAAGUGCUAUUGUGCUUAUCCUGCAGCCACUUUGUUCUCUUUCUAAAUUUUGGAUAAGCAGUCUUGAUGUGGAUCAUAUGUUGCCUACAUGACACGAAAAAUUCAAGCAUUACGGUCCCAAAUAUAUAAGAUAAACAUAAGAAAUAAUUUUAAAUGGAAACUUAAAGAAUAAAACUCAUACGUACUCGAUAUAAGGUAGGACUUCCUCCGUAUUCUCCAAGACAUAUAGAUGUGCUUGAUUCAACAGGUCCUGAUCAACUACGCUCACUGUGCAACCUGAUAAUGGCUUUGAAACUCCCAUCUUUUGGCUUGAAGGCACUCCAACUGUACUAACAUCAGAUAAAUGCUGAGUACAAAACUCUACCGCUUCUUCAGCUAUAUACCGCUCAGCAAUGCAACCUUCGGGACGAGUACGAUUCUGAACAUACCCCUUCAGCACUUUCAUAUAUCUUUCAAACGGAUACAUCCACCUAAAAUAUACUGGCCCACAUAGACGAACUUCUCUGACAAGAUGUACUACUAGAUGAACCAUGAUAUCAAAGAAUGAAGGGGGAAAGUACUUCUCAAGCAAACACAGAGUAACUACUACAUCUUCUUCCAACUUAUCUAGCUUGGAAACAUCAACAGUCUUUGCACAUAUAGCAUUGAAGAAGAAGCACAAACGAGUUAUUGCAUACCUUGCAGGCUUCUCCAAAACAGAACGAAUUGCCACAGGGAGCAAUUGUUGCAUUAAGGUAUGACAAUCAUGUGAUUUAAGGCCAAGAAGUCUUGAAUCUUGUACAUAUACAAGAUUUUUAAUAUUUGAAGAAUAACCUUCAGGGACCUUCAUACCAUAGAAAGAAUUGCAAACCUCUCUCUUCUCUGCUCUUGACAAAUUCCAAGGCCCAGGAGGCAAACGAGUACGUCUUUCUCCAUACUCGGGUUGCAAAUCAGUUUUGACCCCCAUGUUCAAUAAAUCUAAUCGAGCAGCAAUCCCAUCUUUAUUUUUUCCAGGGAUCUCCAGCAAUGUACCAAUGAUACUAUCGCAAACAUUCUUCUCAAUGUGCAUAACAUCUAGGGCAUGCCUCACAGGAAGGUAUUUCCAAUACUCGAGAUCAAAGAAUAUUGAUUUCUUCUUCCAACAAACUCUGUCACCAUUUUCAACCAUAUGCAGCACUUCUUCUCCGGUUAAUGGCUCUGGAGGUAUGCCAUAUUCAGGUUUCCCAUUAAAAGCUGCACGUUGCCUCCUAUAUGGAUGAUUGAUUGGUAACCAUUUUCUAUGCCCAAUGUAACAAAUUUUGUGGCCAUUUUUCAACCUGUGACUAGGUGUAUCAUCGCCGCAUAUUGGACAAGCUUUAUAUCCUUUAACAACACAACCAGAUAAGUUUCCAUAGGCGGGGAAAUCAUUAAUUGUCCACAUUAAUGCAGCUCUGAGUGUAAAGUAUUCUCCAUUAUGUGCAUCAUACACUCCUCUAAUCCCAACCCACAAGGAUUUUAAAUCAUCAAUCAAAGGCUCCAAGUAGACGUCUAUAUCAUUUCCGGGUUGUUUAGGACCGGAAAUCAAUAAGGUUAACAUCAUGAACUUUCGUUUCAUGCACAGCCAUGGAGGGAGAUUAUAUGUAACUAAGAUAACCGGCCAACAACUAUAUCUGCUACUUAGAGAACUGUGGGGAUUGAAUCCAUCAGAUGAAAGAGCCAAUCUCAAGUUUCUCGGCUCAUUACCAAACUCAGGCCAUUUAUCAUCAAGAAGUUUCCAAGACGGGGAAUCCGCCGGAUGAGACAUCUGACCGUCAAUUGAUUUUCUAGCAACAUGCCACCAAGUCAAACUCUUAGCUGUCUCAUGUGAUUGAAACAUCCUUUUAAACCUUGGAAUUGGGGGAAAAUACCACACCACCUUCGCUGGCACACCCUCUUUCAAGAUUGCAUCUUUGCCUUCCUUCCACCUUGAGAUACCACAAGUAGGACAAUUAGUUGAAUCCUCAUACUCCUUCCUAUACAAGAUGCAAUCAUUGGGGCAUGCGUGCAUUUUCUCAUAACUCAGCCCCAAUGCACACAAAGUCUUUUUAGCCUCAUACAUGGAGGUUGGUAUUGUAUUUCCUUCUGGAAGCAAAUCGCCUUGAAGUAUCAAUAAUUCUGUAAAACAGACAUCACUCAUCCCAUGUUUUGCCUUCAAAUUAUACAACUUCACUAAUGCCGAUAACUUCGUGUACUUUCUACAACCAGGGUACACUGGUUGAUCUCCAUCCCCAAUCACAUUGGCAAACUCAUACGGAUCCGAACCAAAAUCACCAAAAUCAUUAUCAUCCAUAUCAAUUUCUUCAGACACAAAACUGUACCUACUAUGGCCAUCAUCUUCUUCAACAUUUCUGCUAGCAUUAGUAGUUGCUUCCCAAGGUUCUCCGUGAAAUGUCCAAUUCUUAUAGCUUUGGUCAAUUCCAUUAAAGUAUAAGUGAUCCCUUAUAAUUCCAACCCCAAACAACUUCAAAUUAACACAUUUAACACAUGGACAACGGAUAUGUGUUGUAGUUAGAAGAUUUUCUACAGCAAAGUUCAAAAAUGCUUCCACCCCAAACUCAUAUGCCUUCGAUCUUCUAUCCGAGUGCAUCCAUGACUUAUCCAUCUCCGACACUAUAACCUAUUAUCUAUAAUAAAGUGAAAAUACAGGCAAUGACCAUCACUAUAGCAGAUUAUACAAUGAUCUAAUCGCAAGUAAUAAAUAACAGAGACGACGGGUUUUAAUCAAAAACAGACGUAUUUGGCAUAUAUAGACGACGGAUUUUCAACAGACGUCGUCUAUUAUACGUAAUACAAACGACGGUUUAUGAAAAAACCGUCGUGUAUAAGUAAUACAACGACGGUAGUUUAAAAACACCGUCGUGUAAUCGUCGUCGUACGCCUUAAAAUUCGUCGUGUCUCAGUUUAUUUUCAAGAACACAAAACCCAUUAAGAACACAACAUAUAUAUGAAACCAAGCAAGAAACCAACAUAUACAUGAAACCAAGCAUGAAAACAAUAAAUCCAUUCCCAAUUCAACAUAACAUAGGGUGAUUAAAAGAUACGACAAAAUUAAAUCCAUUCCCAAUUCAACAUAACAGAUAAUGUAAUCCAUGAACCCAUUAAACAGAAAAUCCAUGAACCCAUACCUAUAAGCAUUGGUGCACUUUGCACCUUCUCCAGAGCGGAAAAUGACAAGAUCAAAUAAAGGUGUCCUUUUGCUGAAAAUCAUUUGGAAGUUGGUGAUGUGUCUUUUUGUGUUGAUUUCCAGCAAAAGUACACCUUUAUUUGAUCUUGUCAUGAACCCAUUAAACAGAAAAUCCAUGAACCCAUACCUAUAAGCACAUUAUUAACAGAUCGCAAAGCAUAUACCUAAAACCCUUUAACAAAACAACCUAAUAUCAUUCAAUGAAUUUACAAGGGGAAGAUAGGGUUUGUACUUACAGGUUGGACGAGCUCACAGAUUCGACGAGCCUGGAGAGUGCAACUUUUAAUUAGAGCAGAAGUGAGAGAGCGAAAUGUUAUGUCGCGUGAAAUCUGAAAUUUUAGGUUUCAGGGAUCAAAGUAUAAGACUAAGAGCCAAAUCUAAAAAAAUUUAGGUCGCGCGAAAAUUUUUAGAGCGCGCGCGUUAUAAAACGUCGAAAGAAAAACCAAGGCGAAAGUUCUACAAGUACCGACGUAAAUUUAAUAUUCCACGACGGAAACUUCAUUUUUCGGAUUAAGAACGUAAGGCCGUUCAUUUUUCGGAUUAAUUUUAAAUUUAUUUUGAAUUUUUUAUAUAACGACGACUGAAAAACCACGUCGGUGUUAAGAAAUUAAAGACGUUGUAAAUUAUAUAAACCGACUUACAUAUUAAAAUAACGUCGUUUAAAGCGUAAACCAUGUCGUAUGUUUUACUGUACGACGUAAAAUAUGUAUUCCACGACCCAACCACCGUCGUUAAAAAUUAAUACACUAAACCCAUAAAAUUAAAUUAUACAAUUUAAAAAAUUAAGUUUAUAAAAGGUUUUAUGGUUUUAAAGCCUAACAUAUAACAUAGACUACCCAAAAAUUAUACUUUAAAAAUAAACCCCAAUAAAUAACAACACUAAUCUCUAAACCCUAGACUCUAAACCCUAAACCAUUAAACUAGAAGUGAUUUUAUGACUCAUCAAAACAAUUUUGUUUUGGAUGGUCAUUUUAAAUUUUUGUUAUUCAAAAUGAAUUUUUUCAAGGUUUAUGUGGAAGAAAAUAUAUCAAUGACUUCAUAGGAGUUGACUUUUCAAUUUUCUGAUUUAUUUUAUAUUUAUUUUGAAUAUUUUGAUAUAAAAAUAAUAAAAUAUUCUUACCAUACAACAAACCACGUCGGUGUUAAAUAAAUUGUAGACGUUGUAAAUUGUAAUAGACUACUAAGUCGUUAAAAUGACGUCGUUAAAAUGAGAAACCACGUCGGUGUUAAGAAAUUAAAAACGUUGUAAAUUAUAUAAACCGACUUACAUAUUAAAAUGACGUCGUUUAAAGCGUAAACCAUGUCGUAUGUUUUACUGUACGACGUAAAAUAUGUAUUCCACGACCCAACCACCGUCGUUAAAAAUUAAUACCCUAAACCCAUAAAAUUAAAUUAUACAAUUUAAAAAAUUAAGUUUAUAAAAGGUUUUAUGGUUUUAAAGCCUAACAUAUACCCUAGACUACCCAAAAAUUAUACUUUAAAAAUAAACCCCAAUAAAUAACAACCCUAAUCUCUAAACCCUAGACUCUAAACCCUAAACCAUAAAACUAGAAGUGAUUUUAUGACUCAUCAAAACAAUUUUGUUUUGGAUGGUCAUUUUAAAUUUUUGUUAUUCAAAAUGAAUUUUUUCAAGGUUUAUGUGGAAGAAAAUAUAUCAAUGACUCUCAUAGAGAGUUAGACUUUUCAUUUCUCUGAUUUAUUUUAAAUUUAUUUUGAAUAUAUUGAUGUAAAAUAAUAAAAUAUUCUUACCCAUACAACAAACCACGUCGGUGUUAAAUAAAUUGUAGACGUUGUAAAUUGUAAUAGACUACUAAGUCGUUAAAAUGACGUCGUUAAAAUGAGAAACCACGUCGGUGUUAAGAAAUUAAAAACGUUGUAAAUUAUAUAAACCGACUUACAUAUUAAAAUGACGUCGUUUAAAGCGUAAACCAUGUCGUAUGUUUUACUGUACAACGUAAAAUAUGUAUUCCACGACCCAACCACCGUCGUUAAAAAUUAAUACACUAAACCCAUAAAAUUAAAUUAUACAAUUUAAAAAAUUAAGUUUAUAAAAGGUUUUAUGGUUUUAAAGCCUAACAUAUACCCUAGACUACCCAAAAAUUAUACUUUAAAAAUAAACCCCAAUAAAUAACAACCCUAAUCUCUAAACCCUAGACUCUAAACCCUAAACCAUAAAACUAGAAGUGAUUUUAUGACUCAUCAAAACAAUUUUGUUUUGGAUGGUCAUUUUAAAUUUUUGUUAUUCAAAAUGAAUUUUUUCAAGGUUUAUGUGGAAGAAAAUAUAUCAAUGACUUCAUAGGAGUUGACUUUUCAAUUUUCUGAUUUAUUUUAUAUUUAUUUUGAAUAUUUUGAUAUAAAAAUAAUAAAAUAUUCUUACCAUACAACAAACCACGUCGGUGUUAAAUAAAUUGUAGACGUUGUAAAUUGUAAUAGACUACUAAGUCGUUAAAAUGACGUCGUUAAAAUGAGAAACCACGUCGGUGUUAAGAAAUUAAAAACGUUGUAAAUUAUAUAAACCGACUUACAUAUUAAAAUGACGUCGUUUAAAGCGUAAACCAUGUCGUAUGUUUUACUGUACGACGUAGAAUAUGUAUUCCACGACCCAACCACCGUCGUUAAAAAUUAAUACACUAAACCCAUAAAAUUAAAUUAUACAAUUUAAAAAAUUAAGUUUAUAAAAGGUUUUAUGGUUUUAAAGCCUAACAUAUACCCUAGACUACCCAAAAAUUAUACUUUAAAAAUAAACCCCAAUAAAUAACAACCCUAAUCUCUAAACCCUAGACUCUAAACCCUAAACCAUAAAACUAGAAGUGAUUUUAUGACUCAUCAAAACAAUUUUUGUUUUGGAUGGUCAUUUUAAAUUUUUGUNNNNNNNNNNNNNNNNNNNNNNNNNNNNNNNNNNNNNNNNNNNNNNNNNNNNNNNNNNNNNNNNNNNNNNNNNNNNNNNNNNNNNNNNNNNNNNNNNNNNNNNNNNNNNNNNNNNNNNNNNNNNNNNNNNNNNNNNNNNNNNNNNNNNNNNNNNNNNNNNNNNNNNNNNNNNNNNNNNNNNNNNNNNNNNNNNNNNNNNNGUCGUUAAAAUGACGUCGUUAAAAUGAGAAACCAUGGCGGCUAUUUAACUAUACGACGUAAAUAUAUAUAUCAACGACUUAACCGCUGUCGUUACAUAAACGUCGUCGAUGAUACCCUGAACCCUUAAGAAAUUGAAGAUGUUGUAAACCAUAAACGACUCAAUUGUUCAAAGAACGUCGUCUAACUAUAUUUUUACGUCGUAAUUGUUUAAAACACGAAACAACAAAAUACGACGGUUUGUGACUUUAUUAGGUCGUUGGAAAAGUAUUACACGUCGGUUAAGCAAUUUGUAUGUUUGUUUUUUUUUUAAUUUAAGAAAACCUCAACAAAUUUUUACAUUACAUAUUAUAGAGAAAAUUUGUACAUUAUACAUAAAUAUCAAGUGUUCAAUAAUUGCCCUGUUUAAUAAUUUGGAAAACAAACUCUGCCCAUUCAUUCCGGACUUCAUCAAUGGCUUCUUGGGGGUAUGAAGCUUCCUGGUUUCCCUUGGCAUACUGCAUAAACAAUGACUAUUAGGGUUUAUAAAUAAAAAGAAAUUCAAUCACAGACGACGAUAUUUUUCAUAACCGACGUAGUAUAUCCAUUCAACGACGUUAAUUUUACAUGACCGUCGUUGAUAAUACAAAAAACGACGUGAAAUGUAUGAAGGUAAUUUCUUCUUACCUUAUUCUCAAACCCCAAGGAAGGAUCCAUGAUGAUGUCCCUCAUGAAGCGCAUCACAUAAUACCCGCAUUCGACAUUGCUGGGUUGCUUUGGUGUGCCUGAGAGAGUUUUCCAAAUUACAUUUUUACGUCCUGCUCGGCCUAUGUGGGUAUUAUAUAUUUUUAAAGCACUGUUCACGAUGUUUUUCGCCUCUUCGUCGACCACACGAUGACCUGGCAGAGGAUCCAGAAAAUAGACGGUCUCCUUCUUUGCUCUUACAAUCAGCAGGAUCCAAUGACGGCUGCACAAAAUUAAUAUAAAAACGACGGUUAUUUACAAAAACGACGUAUUAUAGUAUUUCACACGACGAAAUAAAGUAGAUAACGACGACAUUAUAUAUUUAUCACGACGACAAAUAAAUACCGACGUGGUUAGUAGUUUCAAACGACUAAAUAAAAUAAAACACCGACGUGGUUAGUUUAUAAGCUGUCAUUUAUUGAAAAUCAUAAAAACAAAAUCCUAAGGAGACUAACCCUGGAUUGUAAGGCAUCAUGAAAAGCUGUUCACCGUCUGUCUUCUGAAGUCGAGCUGCUACCAGUCGUGAUCUUUCAGUUAUUGUGCCAGAGUUGGCACUAACUGUAGCAGGGUCAAUAAAGCCAACCAUGCUGCACAUAUUGGCUUGUUUCAAAACAUCGUGUAAGUACCUAAAUACAUAAAAUAAUAUAAACAAGUCAGCACAAACAAACACGACGGUUAUGUAUAAAAAAACGACGUAUUAUAAUAUUUCACACGACGUACUGAAAUAGAUGAGGACGUUAUAAUAUAUUUAUCACGACGGUAGUUAGUUAAGACGACGUGGUUAGUUAGUUAAGACGACGCAAUAUAUAAACCAACGAGGUAUUAUUUUAGAAGUACAAACCUCAUAUAUACAGCCAAUACAGUAGCUCCAAUUUCUUCCAUGCCUGCAAAUUGUGUAAUAUCUUCAGGCAGGAGGAAGGUAUCGCGCUCACCACCAAACACCUCCUUAUCAAUUGUAAAUUGGAGUGUCUUAUCCUCAGGCAGGAGUGUCGUUUCCACAAAACGACAAAGGGUUUUUAAAGAAGAUGGCGCCUCCAUAUUUGAAUAAGCACCAACUUCAAUAACCUGUUUAAAGAAAUAAAAAAAAUGACGUGGUAAUUCAAUAAAGACGACGGUUUAAGUAAUAAAACGUCGUCUUAAAAGUAUUUAAACGACGGUGAAAAAACUGUCGUGGUAAUUCAAUAAAGACGACGGUUUUAUGAAUAAAGCGUCGUCUGAAACCAUUUAAACGACGGUGCAAAAACCGUCGUUUAAAUAUUUUAUUACGUCUUAAAAAAAUUCCGCCGUCUAAGUUUUAAACAAACGACGGAUUAAAUAAAAAUAUCGACGUCUGAAAUUUUGAAAAACAAAUAAAAAAGGCAAAGUUAUGUGAACAUACCUUGUCGUCAUGCUUUUCUUCAUCUUCUUUCUCCUUUUCUUCUUCCUUCUCUUCAUCUCUUUUUUCUUCUUCCUUCUCUUCAUCUGGCUGAUGUUUCCCCAUUUUGGCAGUAUCAUCCUCCAAAUGUAGGGAUCUCACAUCACCUCCAGAGCAGCUAGCUUUGUCAGACAUUGGAUUUUUGGGGCUUUGGCUAAUUCUUGGUUUAAGCAUGCUUGGAUCAAAAUUGGGAAUUAAUUGGGAAAGCUGACUCAGGAAAUGCUCCCUCUCAGCCUCUACCAAUUGUUUUGUCCUAGCCUCCAUCCUUAAGGCCUCUUCCCUUGCCUUAGCCUCCAUCUUUUUAGUCUCUUCUUGAAGGAGAACUCUUAAACUGUCCUUCAAACGGUCGUCAAAGCUCACCCUCUGUGGUUUGGGCAAAUUGAAAUAUUGCCUUGGGGAAACACCAGCACCAACUCCCCUCAGUCUGCCUGGAUGCUCGGGGCCCAAAGCCAUGGUCAGCACAUCAUUGCUGCCAUCUACUCUGACUUUGCCUUCCGAGACUUGUUUCUGCAAUUCAUCCUAAAAAAAGAUAAACAAAAAAACACACGACGGUUAUUUAUGUACAAACGACGUAUUAUAUAAUUUCACACGACGCAAUAACGUAUAAACCGACGUUAUUAUAACUUAUCACGACGGUAGUUAUACCGACGUGGUUAUUUAUUUAAAACGACGAAAUGAAUAAACAACCGACGUCUUAUGCUAUAAUUAAAGAUAACAGAGUAGUGAUUCCUAUUUAGACCGUUAAUGACGUUUUUAAAAAAUUUUCGACGUGGUAAUAUCAUUCACACGACGCGAAAAUGAACCACCGACGUCUUAUGCUGUAAUUACAGAAAACAUAGUAGUGAUUCCUAUUUAGACCUUUAACGACGUUUUUAAAAACUUUUCGACGUGGUAAUAUCAUUCACACGACGAAAAAUAUAACAUACGACGUAAUAAGAAUAAUUCACAGUUUAAUAAAAAUUUAAAACAGAGUGAUAGUAGGCUUACAAUUAAUUUUGCUUUCUCUGCCACCUUUGGAUCAGGGAUGUUACCAUGUUUGUCCUGUCUAGCUCUCUUCCAUAAGGUAGAUCGAUCAAUUUCUACCCCAGGCAUGGUUUCCUCCAAUUGAUCCUCCAAUCCAGCAUAUCCUUUUCGAGACAAUCGAUGAUUGUACUCGAGUUUCUCCCUAAUCUGUGCAUGUUGAGAAUGCACAGACUCAAAAUCUUUGGAUAGCCUUGAAGCUACAAAGGCAUCCCAUUGUGCUUUCUCUAUGAAUUUAUAUGUUUCAGGGGGUUGGCUUAAUUUCUCCCUGUCAUUGGUGUAUGGAAGGAUAUAAUGCCUCGUUAGUGUAGACUUGAAAUCCUUCCAUUUCUUGGAAGCAGAAGCUAAAACAGAGGUCUUGCCCCCUUGGCCUACGACAAAAGCCAUGUCAACUGCUUCCCAAAUCUGCUCCUUUAUAUCCUUGGGGAUUUGGGACCAUUUCUUGUCCACAAGUGGGAUCCUGGAGCGUGCCAACACACCAAUAUACGACUGCAUCUCAAUAUGUGCUUGGCCAACACCUUUCCCCCUUUUAUUGUACUCAACAAUUGGCCUCAGUUUCUGAAGCUUUCUCUUCACAACACGAGGCAUUGUGCUCAUACCUCGACCAGUCUUUGAAUCAUCUGAGAUUGUUGUCUGGCUGGUUUGUUCUGUCUCAGCAGAUGAUGAAGCAAACUUCAUCUUCUUCGAAGACUUCAUCUCCUUCGAAGACUUAUCUUGAGGAGCUACCAUUCCAAGCUUCUUGGAGCCAGAAUCCUUAGUUUGUUGUUGAGAAACCAUUUUAACAGACAAAACUGCAAGUGAAAAUAUUUCAGGAAAACAUUAAGAACACAAACGACGGUAUUAAAAAAAUACGACGUAUGAUAUGAUUUUAGACGACGCAAUGAAAUAAUCUCAGACGUAAUAAAUGUUUAAAACCAUUAUUUAUAUAACGUCGUGGUAUAUAUGUUCACACGACGUCAAUAGUAAUACACCGUCGUGGUAAACUAUUAUUUAUAUUUUAUCGUCUAUAUUAGAUACCAACCCUAGUUUCUUUUUCUUUAUAUUUAUCAAAUAAGGGAAAAACAAAAACCAUUGUUCAGCGAAAUCAAACCUGCAAUUAAACAAGCAUAUAAAAAAAGACUAUUAUUUUAAAAACAACUUUGUCAAUUUUCAGACGACGCUAGAACAACUGACGAACCGUCGUGGUCUACCGUCGUCUUAUUUAGUUGAUGUAGUUGUCUUCAAAGUUGGAAACUUUCUCUCUUUGUCUGUAUAUUUUAUCAAACUUGGAAAGAAGUAAAAUGAUUUUGGCCAGAAAAAAGGUAAAAAGAUUUUUCAAACAAAAAACGUAUGAGCAUGCAAAACAGUAACCAAAAUAGUGAAAAUGAAAGCUUACCUUUUGCGUGCAAUGAAAGCAAGAGGAAGAUGAUCGAUGUUUAAGUUCAGAGACGACGAAGAAGACGAGAGGAAGACGAUGAGAAACUCUGACAAUGCUCUGACAAGGAAAAAAGACGAAAAGGUUUCUCUGGGAGAUUGAAAUUUUUAAUCGGGUUUGGAAACAGUGCAUGUGUAAGUCGAAAAGUUGCUUACAUAUAAAACCAUUUCAAAAAAAUAAUACGGCGGUUACAUUUAACUACGUCGUUUUUAACUAAAACGACGCAAUAUUUUUCAUUCGACGUGGAAUCAUUUCAUUUAACGUCGUUAGGUUUAAUAUAACCGACGUGGAUUUUAAUUUUUAAAUUAUGAAUAGAAUUUUUUUUCCCGUGACCUUUCAGUUUAUUUUUCAAUUACAGUGCGUUAUAAAUAGAGGUUUUUUUCCGGAGGAAAUUUAAAACGAAGGAAAUUAAUAUUCUGCAAUAUGUAAAGUUUCUUUUUUGGAUGACAGAUUUAAAUAAAAUAAGAAUAUAAAAACAACAAAUGUGUAAGUCAAGUAGACGAAAAGUUGCUUACAUAUAAAACCAUUUCAAAAAAAUAAUAUGGCGGUUACAUAUAACUACGACGUAUAAAUUACAAAAUACGACGGUACAUUUAACUUCGGACGUGGUAAAUAAAUACGACAGUAGUUUGUAGGUACCGUCGUAGUAAACUCAAAAAUUAAAGUACAUAAGUAAUAACUCGCGUCAUGGUAUAUUAUUUAACACGUCGUUUUUAUUAAUUUACCGACGUGGAUUUCUGUAAUAUACGUCGAUCAUACCGACGUUGAUUUUACAAUUUAAACGGCGGUUUGUUUGUAAGGACCGCCGUUGGUUUUAAAAAUUUAUUCUAUAAAUUUGUCGCUUUCAUUCAUUUUCGGUUUACAUUUAAGGUUCCAAGUUCUUCCUCUCUCAGUCUCUCAUGUCUCAAAGAUAAUAAUUUGGAUGUUUUCUCAAAGAGAAAUUGAGCUUACUCGCAUCAAAUAUAUGUCCACAAGAAGAAGCUUGUCAACUAGCCUUCUCACUUCCUUGAUCAAGCCUGAUAGGACACUUAGUGCUUCUGAAUACUCCUUGCUUUCCAUCAAAAGAGAUGCAAGCCUGGCCUCCACUCGCUGUCGAAGGAAAGUUCGCUUCUCAGGGAAAUCUGAAGAUCAGAUGUGCCUGAUCCUCUGCUUGAUUUUCUUGCCUAAGAAGAUCCGUCGGAUUUAUUGUGAUAGCCUCUUCCUUUAUCCGUAGAGCUUCAGAAGAAGAAGAUGGGUUUCAAGAAUGCGAUAAAGAAUAGAAAUGGCUUCAGAUGGCCUCUAAAGCAUGAGCAAUUGAAUCAGUAGUUUCUGGGAGAUAUGAUGAAGACAUUGUCAAUGCUUUGAACUACACAAGUCCUGCAGAAAGAUAUGUUAAAGAAACUGAAACAACGGCGGUUUUCUGUUCUACCGUCGUCUUUUCUCGUCGUCUAUAUUAAGUUACGAUGGCGGUAGAUUUAUAAUUACCGACGUAGAUUAUUUUGUUAAACGUCGUUAAGUGUACUACAACCGACGUGGAUUUUAAUUUUAAAUUAUAAAUGGAGUUUUUUUUCCCGUAUUCUUUCAGUUUUAGUUUUCAAUUCCAAAGCGUGAUAAAUAGAUUUUUCUUUCCCGAGGAAAUUUAAAAUGAGGGAAAUUAAUGUUCUAGAAUUUGUAAACUAACACGACGCAAUAUUUGCAAAUCUGUGUCAUCUGUUAAGAUUAUGAUGUGGAACAGAGUUCCAUCUGGUAAGAUUUCGUAACCCUUGGGAUCUCAGACAAAACUGAUUAUGUCGGCGGUGUUCUAUAUAAACCGUCGUGGUUAUUUCAAUUCUUGUCAUUAAGUAGAUCUACCGACGUAGGAUAAGAAAAUCAAAGAAAAAAAUUGUUAACAAAAAUUCUUAUUAAGACGACCGUUAAAAUUAAAGGUACGACGUAUAAAAUGAAUAAAUACGACGAUAAAUUUUAUUGUACGAUUUAAAGAUAACGUAGUAGAACUAUACGAGAAUGACGUCGAUAUAUUUAUAUUUUCCGUCGUUGUAAAUUAAUUUAAUACGGCGAUAUUUUGUAUUUUAAAGCCGUGGAUUUGUUUGUAAUUAUACGGCGUCUUAUACGAAAACCUCGUCGUGUUAUUUUAUGAGUAAAAACGGCAGUUUUUAUUGAAAUCGUCGUCUUUACUUUCUACGUCGGUCGAUUCAUAACUUCUGCCGUUCUUUGUUGGCAUUGAUUUUACACUGAGGAAAUCUGUUUCAAAUAGACGUCGGUUGUUUAAUUAUGUACGUCGUUGUUUUUGAACAGCCAUUUGAAACUCCAUUUUUUAGUUGUCUAAGGUUGUAUUACACGACGGUGUUUUUAGAACCGUCGUCUUUUUAUAAACCACGACGGUUUUCACUUAGACCGUCGUUGUUUUCUGGUCGUCUUUUUCACUUUUUGUAGUAGUGUGCGGACCAAGUAAGUGCAUUGAUGCGGAUAACAAGAACAAUAAAGAUGUGGACAAUGGGCUUCAUCAACUUCCGUGGUUUCAUAUUUUCACUAUGUUGGGGUUCAUAGUGGGAUUUUGGGGAGUCUGGUUCUGUAAUUAUUAACAAAACAUGGAGAUACGCAUAUUUUCGAUUCAUAGACAAUCUACAAUAUAUGCUCCUCUAUGUGAUGAUAAUAGUCCCCCAUGAACAGGAUGAAAAGAAGGCUUAAAGGCUAGAUAUAUAUUAUUAUUAUUGUACUUUUUAUUUUGCAUACUCAGUCCAAAGAUAUGAAAAUUGAUGCAUAUGCAUAUAAUACGGUUGUCAAUUGUGAAGGAUUGAUGUCUAUGCCUCAGUAACGAAGAUUAAUGUCUAUUGCUAAUAUAGAAGGCAUAUUUGUGUAUGGGAGCAUGAGUUAUAUCCCGCACAAAAAUGAUAAGAACUACUCUCUCUCACUUGUCUGUUAAUAUUAGUAUCUUUAUUAUAACAUAUGUUACCAAUAUGAAGUAUCUGUAAAACUAAUCACUUAGCCCAAAGGGAAGGGAAAUUGCUCCAGUUGUGAAUGAUCGGAUGAAGCAGCCAUUGCACCACUCAAGAUAAGAAAGAAAAUUCAAGAGAUAUUAAUGGCCUUUCUGUCUUUCGCAAUUUAUGAAGAUGUUGUACAAUAGAUGUAUUUGAAUAACUCUAGGGGCAUGGCAGUACCAAAAUCGUGCUCAACGACAAAACAUAUGGCCGAAGGUCAAAUUCAUGUUGAAGACAGAACUUGUGGCUGAAUGCAAAAUUCAAAAUCAUGGAGGAAGACCGUACGAUCGACCCAAGGCUAAACUCAGACUAUACUCAUGGCUGAAGGCCGAAUUCAUACUGAAGAAACUCCACAUGCUUGUGGCUGAAUGCAAGUCACGCAGUCACACAUAAAUUAGCACAAGCUGCGGUGAUUCACAUGUUGGCUGAAUGUGCCGGGCUUCAGUGGUUUGUUGUACUAGAAAGUUGAUUUUUAUUCGAGCAAUUUUUUUAGCCGCGAAGUAUGGGAUUACAAAUCUUGGUGAUUGGCAAUAUGGUUGGUAGUUCUCCAGAAAAGAAAAACUCCCAACUCCCAACUCCUUCCGAGGCCUUUAGUCUUUAAAAUGGGACCUGUAAUAACUGGAGUUAUGAUUAGGCCUCUGUUAUUUUGGGGAUCUCUUAGUUGGAUCAGGUCUCUAAAGCCUGUUUGAUUUUUAUUUCUAAUUCUGCGUAGUUGCUUCUGCGGGGUGCAUUGCCCUCCCCACCCCAGUUCACAAAGAAAAAAAAGACAGUGUUGGUCUCUAGAAUUCGACGAUGAAAAUUUUCCUCUUUGGCAGUCAAUGUUAGCAUUGGAAGUUCGCAUAAUUGCUUUUUGAAUGCUGGGUAUGAGAGUAAUUGCGUUUUUAAUACUGAUAUUAUAGUAAUCUUAAACUACCAUUCUGUUGUACAUUGUCUACCUGUUUAUUUGUUUGUUUUCAAUUAGUUUUUCGGCAAUCAAGUAUUCAUUUAUACAUGAUUGUCUACUUUCUUGUUAUUUUUUGUUUUGGCAGGAGAACCUUUUAUUAAUGGUGAAGCAGUACCAUACGAUCCCAAGUACCAUGAGGAAUGGAUAAGAAAGAAUAGCCGAGCAAACGAGAGAAACAGACGCAAUGACAGACCUUGAAAUUAUUACAGAUCAAGGAACUUUGAUAGGAGGAGGGAAAAUAUGCAGAACCGAGAUUUUCAGAACAGGGGUCAGCCUCCUAUGCCUAAUCAAGCUCGGCAAAAUCCUGGGCCUAACAUGCCUGGACCUGCCAACAACAUGAGGACUCCCAACAAUAUGGGCCCCUUGCCCCCCAACACGGGUCCAAUGCCUCCCCACA
rnacentral:lncRNA from 1 species